rnacentral:tRNA from 1 species
GCCUGGGUGGCUCAGUCAGUAAAGCAUAUGACUUCUGCUCAGGUCAUGAUCUCACAGUUUGUGGGUUCGAGCCCCACGUCAGGCU